GACUGCAUGGCUUGAGAUAGGACAGUUAAAACCAUUAAAAAUUGACAAGCCAGUCUUUUUCUCUCUUCAGAUAUCUUCAUGGCUAGUUGGGCUUUAAGGUGAAUAGCAGUGUCUGUGUUACAUUUCUAAAUAAACAGAAUUGGAGUUGAAGGGAUCGUUCUUACUUCAGGACACCACUGUGUGGGCUGCCUGAAGGAGUACACACUGCAGUGAAUCACUCUCCAGGCUGAGGACUCCAGUGUGAGUUAAAGAACUCAAAGUGCCACAGGAUUGGCAGGCAGCUCCUCUCUGGCCCCAUGCCUUGGCCCUUCCUCCUGUCUGUGCCAGAUGCCCUGAAGUCUCCUGUCCGUGCUGUGACAUCAGUGAUGUGGGAUCAGCAGGCAAGAGGGUGGGACUGUUAACUCCAAACCAUACUGAAUCCACUAGGAGAAGAUUAAAUGUGUUUCUUGGUAAAGAGGCAGAAAGUAUUUGUUAAGACUGAUAAAGAAAAAGACUUGUUGGAUGAAACCAAAAACAGUUUUCACUUUUUGUAAUCAAAAAGUUUGGCAUUGUGGCACAUGCUUGUAAUCCUAGCAACUCAGGAGUUUUGGAAGUUCAAGGCCAUCCUGGGCAAUUUAGUGAGACUCUGUCUCAAAAUAAAAAAUAAAAAUGGCCGGGAUGCAGCUCAGUGUUAAAAUGCCUCUGGGUUCAAUCCCCUGUACCAAAAAGGAGAAAAAGGAAAAAGAAAGAAAUUUGGAAAGAAUUAAAAAGCAAGCACAAACAAACAAACACGUAGCCAGGCUGGUGGUUCACAUCUGUAAUUCCAGCAACUCAGGAGGCUAAAUAAACCAGGAGGAUCUCAAGUUCUAGACCAGCCCAGGGAACUUACUUAGAC
rnacentral:lncRNA from 1 species